UACAGAGGGUGCAAACGUUGUUCGGAAUUACUGGGCGUAAAGCGCGUGUAGGCAGUUUCGCAAGUCAGGUGUGAAAGCCCUGGGCUCAACCUAGGAAGUGCACUCGAAACUGCGAGACUUGAGUCCUGGAGAGGAAGGCGGAAUUCUCGGUGUAGAGGUGAAAUUCGUAGAUAUCGAGAGGAACACCGGUGGCGAAGGCGGCCUUCUGGACAGUGACUGACGCUGAGACGCGAAAGCGUGGGGAGCAAACAGG
rnacentral:rRNA from 1 species